rnacentral:sRNA from 1 species
UGAUAAAACAGCCGUGAAGAUAAUUAA